rnacentral:lncRNA from 1 species
GAUGAGCAUCAGGGCCAUCUGAAGACCAGGUGUUUCCCAUAUUGAAGUAGAGUCAGGCUUUUUAUAGCAGAGAGGAAAGUUGCCUACGAGUGAUUUUGUCUUGACAGAAAUUUUCAGCUUCGAAACUUGAGAUUUCCAGGUGGAAAUAUCACAGGCAGUUGGAGAUAUGAAAAUUACUAUAUGGGAGAAUUUUCUGAUUAUUAUUUCAUUGAUCAUAAUACAACAAUUUCACAGUGACCUCAGUUAUCACAAUGAACUCAGCUUCAGUCAUGGCAAAUAUUGAGCUAACUCAAUAUUGGAGUUUGAACAGUGAUUUCAGCAGAUCAAGGUGGCUCCGUUCUGCUUCCAAUGAAGCCGUUCAAAACACAAUCAAGGAUGAAUAGCGCCUCACUCCAUUAAGAGUUUGUAGCAACAAUUCAUGAAGCAUGUUAAAUCACAGAAAUUGUGUUGCCGAGUAUGGUCACUUAGACACAAAUCAAAUUAAUAAGGGAAAAUUUAACAUUUAUGAAUUUGCAAGGUGAACGGUUAUAUUGAAAAAGAGUUAACAUUGCGAUAUUUUAAUUCAAAUGCUAUUCUACAGUGAAAAGGAGUUCUGAAGAUUCCUAAAUAUUUUGAAGUUAAAGCAAUGGUUCUCUAGAUUGAGAUAAGAAGUAUUAUGUUCUAAAUAUGUUAAGCUAAAACAUUUUUAAGCUGUGAUGAAUUCGACUCAGUAGAGACAUUUAAACACGUCAUCUAUAACUUCAAUUUUCAUUUGAACUAAUUAUUGGGUUGAAAAUGUAAGAUUAGCAGUUGCUAAAAGUGAAUUCCUCUCUUUGCUAAUGUUUGAAGCAUGAAGUAUUGGUGGCUUGGCACAUUUAUGGCAUGCACUUAGAUUAUAGCUUAUUAUUCUUUGGACGCCCAAUAAACUUCGAUAGAAAAACAGAUGGUUCUGCCAUUACAUUUAAAUCAAUCUUAAAAGAACUUUAAUCUGCCUACUGCAGUCUGAUGGAGCUGUAAACAAAGUUUUUCACCUGAUAUCCACCUAUCAAAAUCUAACACUUGGAAAAAAGAUCUUCACUUGAGAGUAUCAGAUAAUAAACAU